GACGAACGCUGGCGGCGUGCCUAAUACAUGCAAGUCGAACGCAGUGGGGACGGGUGAGUAACACGUGGGUAACCUCCCAUCAGAGGGGAUAACACUUGGAAACAGGUGCUAAACCGAUACUGAUGGAUGAACUCGCGGGGCAUUAGCUAGGUGGCGCGGUAACGGCCCACCAAGGCCACGAUGCCUAGCGGACCUGAGAGGGGGAUCGGCCACACUGGGACUGAGACACGGCCCAGACUCCUACGGGAGGCAGCAGUGGGGAAUAUUCGGCAAUGGACGAAAGUCUGACCGAGCCACGCCGCGUGAGUGAAGAAGGUUUUCGGGUCGUAAAGCUCUGUUGUUAGAGAGGCGGUAUCUAACCAGAAAGCAACGGCUAACUACGUGCCAGCAGCCGCGGUAAUAC
rnacentral:rRNA from 1 species